CGUUUGGGAAAUUACUCGCGAUAUGGUUAAGAUCUGUUAUUUGUCCAUCUGUCUAUUCAACAUGAACAAUAGGAUCAGAAAAUAGACUAUUGAUAUGGUACUGUGAUCCAAUAAGGAACUAUUCAGUUUUAACAAGAUUUAGUGACAGUUUAUUUGCAGUGAAUCACUGUUUAACAUUCGCAAGAUCACGAUUAAUGGCCGCCUCAUCAUUACGAAUUGACUUACCAGAUACGGUUCAUGUCGUAUUGUCGGCAAACAAUCUUGUCGACAUGCACUUCAAACUGUCCGGGAAGUCAUUGAUAUAGAUUAAGAAUAAGAGUGGCCAGAUAAUUGACCCCUGAGGAAUUCCACAGUUAACUAAUUUUGACUGGAUAAUACGUCGUUUACAGAACACAUGCAUUUCAUGAUUUGAGUUUUAUUAGCUAGGUACUGUAUGAUCGAAGAAUGUUUAGAUCCAGUGUGUCAUCACUGUCAUGCCAUAGAAAUCAAGUUUCUUUAGCAAUAUUUCGUGAUUGUGUCAAAAGCCUUAUUCAAAUCAAGAAACACCGCAAUGUUAAACAUACCACGAUCCAGAUUAAUAAACCAUUCAUUUGUGCUGUCCAAAAGGGCAGAAGCUGUAGAAUAAAAAUGUCUGAAACCAAACUGACGAAGGGAUAACAAAUUAUUUGCAACAAAUUACUCAUGUAAUUGUUCGUAUAUAAAAUUUUGAAUUCUCCAAAACUUUUUUUUAGUAAGCCAAGGAAUAUUUGGCUAUCUAUUUACUCUUUUUUUUCUUUAUUGUUUUUUUCUCUUUUUUCUAUUAAUUUUUGUUUCUCUAAGAUCUGACAUGCAUAUUCAAUAUUCGAAUAUGCAUAUCAGAUCUUCCAUUAUGGUUUACCACAAUAUCUGUGGGAAGAGGCAUUUCUCCUCGUUUAUCGUAUGGUUGUGUCUUAAAUUGUGUUAGGAUGAAUUUAUUUUUAAGAUUUUUAGUUCUCUAUGCACAUUUUCAACCAUUAUAGGUUAGAACAAAUCUGAAUCUCUUCAUGUCACAUCAUGUUACAUUAUGGUGCACUAGCCUACAUGUUACACUAAAAUUACUAUACUUUACUAAUAGUUCUUGACAUGUUACUACAUGUUAUACCUAUAUUUUUAAAAGGAAUUAAUUUUUUUUAAAGGGACUGUGUAACAUGUUUUAACUUGUAAGGAUAUAUAAUAAAAGAUAGAACUUUUAGUGUAACAUGUAAUGUAACAUGUGGUGUAUAACAUGGUGUAACAUGUAGUGAUUUUACUCAGACUGUACAUUUAUUAAGUAAUAAAAAGAUCUUUGUUAAGACAAGCAUCAAGUUUGAGGCAAUCACGGGUACAUGCGCUAGGAAAGCAUAUUGAAACCAUAUUAAAACAUACUUUAUAGGUACAAUGCUGUACUAUAAAAUUUUAAUAAUCGAAAAAAUAUCUGAAAAGUGUAACAGUCAUGAAUAUAGAGGAUAUUAGACGGUUGCGAAGAGAUAUGGAUUUUAUGUUCAAGUGAUAUAUUGUUUUUGACACGAGAACAUAAAUCCAUAUCUUCUCGCAACCGUUUAA